GGUCCGAUGGUGUAGUUGGUUAUCACGUCAGUCUAACACACUGAAGGUCUCCGGUUCAAGCCCGGGUCAGAUCA
rnacentral:tRNA from 1 species